rnacentral:pre_miRNA from 14 species
ACAGUCAUUGUAGUUUUGAUGUCGCAGAUACUGCAUCAGGAACUGACUGGAUAAGACUCAGUCACCAUCAGUUCCUAAUGCAUUGCCUUCAGCAUCUAAACAG